CAAGGUGAGUAAAGUGGCGUACGGGUGAGUAACACGUGGAUCAUCUGCCUUCUAGUGGGGAAUAACGCUGGGAAACCGGCGCUAAUACCGCAUAAGUCCGGGAGGAGAAAGCAGCAAUGCGCUGGAAGAGGAGUCCGCGGCCGAUUAGCUAGUUGGCAGGGUAAAAGCCUACCAAGGCAAAGAUCGGUAGCCGGCCUGAGAGGGCACACGGCCACACUGGCACUGGAACACGGGCCAGACUCCUACGGGAGGCAGCAGUGGGGAAUAUUGCACAAUGGGGGAAACCCUGAUGCAGCGACGCCGCGUGAGCGAUGAAGCCCUUUGGGGUGUAAAGCUCUUUCGGCAGGGAAGAUAGUGACGGUACCUGCAGAAGCAGCUGCGGCCAACUACGUGCCAGCAGCCGCGGUAAUACGUAGGCAGCAAGCGUUGUUCGGAAUUACUGGGCGUAAAGGGUGUGUAGGCGGUUGUUUAAGUUUGGUGUGAAAUCUCCCGGCUCAACUGGGAGGGUGCGCCGAAUACUGAGUGACUAGAGUGCGGGAGAGGAAAGUGGAAUUCCUGGUGUAGCGGUGAAAUGCGUAGAUAUCAGGAGGAACACCGGUGGGUGUAGACGGCUUUCUGGACCGUAACUGACGCUGAAACACGAAAGCGUGGGUAGCAAACAGGAUUAGAUACCCUGGUAGUCCACGCCCUAACGAUGCAUAUUUGGGUGUGGGUCAUUCAGUUGAUCCGUGCC
rnacentral:rRNA from 1 species